AUGGUCAUGUUUUCGGCAACUUGGAAUCAAACAAUAAAAAAACAAAUAUUAUACUUUUCACGUGAUCGAUUCUUUGUGUUAAUAGAUACAAGAACGAUGCUAUACACAUGGCAAUUUCCGAACAAUUUUGGGAUGAUGCAGCACAUCAAGCCGUCUGUGCGUACUGCAAACCUGGACAGCACCGUCCAAUCCUCCAUCAUGCAAAGUUCACUUGGCAACUGUCGUCCGCGUAGUAGUUUCGUAGAUACAACACUGCAUUUUCUUUUUGUGGUUGUACAACCUGCAUAUUGGCCAUGGACUAGCUUGCGACCUGAGGUCUGGCUAUGUGCACUAAGUGCUCAUGCACAUGAGAAGAACACAAUUUUAGUUCUAGACAUGAAUCAUUAA
rnacentral:rRNA from 1 species